rnacentral:misc_RNA from 1 species
GAAAUGCGAUACGUAAUGUGAAUUGCAGAAUUCAGUGAAUCAUCGAAUCUUUGAACGCAUAUUGCGCUUUCUGGUAAUCCGGAGAGCAUGCCUGUUUGAGUACCUUUAAAUUCUCAAUCCCGUUGUGGGUUGGAUGUGAGCUAAGAUUCUCUUGCAGAAGACUAGCUUUAAAGAAGGGUCCAGAGGGCAGUCUACACGCCUGACAAGACAAAAGUAAUUGAAUGGGUUCUAUGAUCUCAACCUUUAUUUUUGGCCUGGAAGGAACGGACUGUAUACUUUGGCAACAAAUACAUUGAACCCUUGGUCUCAAAUCAGGUAGGAGGACCCGCUGAACUUAA